GAUGAACGCUGGCGGCGUGCCUAAUACAUGCAAGUCGAGCGGACGGACGCGGAGCUUGCUUCGCUGAUGUUAGGGGCGGACGGGAGUAUAACACGUGGAUACCCUACUUAUAAGAGUGGGAAAACUUCGGGAAACCGGAGCUAAUACGGGAGAAUAUUUUGAACCGCAGGGUUCGAAGGUGAGAGACGGUCUUGGGGUCAGUUAUAGAUGGAUACGAGCUGCAUUAGCUAGUUGGUAAGGUAAAGGCUUACCAAGGCAAGUAUGCAUAGCCGACCUGAGGGGGGGAUCGGCCACCCUGGAGCGGAGACACGCUCCUGACUCCUGAGGGACGCAGCAGUAGGGAACCGGCCGCAAUGGGCGAAAGUCUGACGGAGCGACGCCGCGCGAGAUGUGAAGGUCUUCGGAGCGUAAAACCCGGUUAUUAGGUAAGAACAGAUGUCUACGUAAAUGUGCAGAGCUUGACGGUACCUAAUCAGAAAGCCCCGGCUAACUACGUG
rnacentral:rRNA from 1 species